AGUGACACAGAGAUUAAUGUACUCAGCUGCUAACUGAAAGGUCAGUGGUUCAAAUCCACUAGGCACUG
rnacentral:tRNA from 1 species